CCGCCAUCCAUCACCACCCUCCAUCUCCACCCUUCAACUCCACUAUCCAUGUCCACCAUCCAUCACCACCCUCUAUCUCCACUGUCCAUGUCCACCAUCCAUCACCACCCUCUAUCUCCACUGUCCAUCACCACCCUCUAUCUCCAGCGUCCAUGUCCACUGUCCAUCACCACCUUCUAUCUCCACUGUCCAUCACCACCUUCUAUCUCCACUGUCCAUCACCACUCUCUAUCUCCACUGUCCAUGUCCACUGUACAUCACUACCCUCCAUCUCCACUGUCCACGUCCACCGUCCAUCACUACCCUCCACCUCCACUGCCCAUGUCCACCAUCCAUCACUACCCUCUGUCUCCACUGUCCAUGUCCACCGUCCGUCACUACCCUCUGUCUCCACUGUCCAUGUCCACCAUCCAUCACUACCCUCCGUCUCCACUGUCCAUGUCCACCGUCCAUCACUACCCUCUAUCUCCACCGUCCAUCACCACCCUCUGUCUCCACUGUCCAUGUCCACCUGUCCAUCACUACCCUCUGUCUCCACUAUCCAUGUCCACUGUCCAUCACCACCCUCUAUCUCCACUGUCCAUCACCACCCUCUAUCUCCACUGUCCAUGUCCACUGUCCAUCACCACCCUCUAUCUCCACUGUCCAUCACCACCCUCUAUCUCCACUGUCCAUCACCGCCCUCUAUCUCCACCAUCCAUCACUACUCUCUAUCUUCACUGUCCAUGUCCACCAGCCAUCACCACCCUCUAUCUCCACUGUCCACGUCCGCUGUCCACAUCCAAUAUCCAUUUAUACCAUCCAUCACCACCAUCCAUGUCCAUUGCCCAUCUCCAAUGUCCAUCAUCACCACCCAUCACCACCAUCCAUCUCCAGAACUUUUACCUCUUCCCAAAUUUCAAGUCUGUAUUCAUUAAACAGUCACUCCCCAUGCUCCUCCUGUCAGCUACUAUCUCUAUGAAAGUGACUACUCUAGGGACCUCACAUAAGUGGGAUUGUAUGGUACGUGUUCUUCUGUGACU
rnacentral:lncRNA from 1 species